UACGUAGGGCGCGAGCGUUGUCCGGAAUUAUUGGGCGUAAAGAGCUCGUAGGCGGUUUGUCGCGUCUGCCGUGAAAACCCGAGGCUUAACCUCGUGGCUUGCGGUGGAUACGGGCAGACUAGAGGUAGGUAGGGGAGAAUGGAAUUCCCGGUGUAGCGGUGAAAUGCGCAGAUAUCGGGAGGAACACCGGUGGCGAAGGCGGUUCUCUGGGCCUUACCUGACGCUGAGGAGCGAAAGCGUGGGGAGCGAACAGG
rnacentral:rRNA from 1 species